GUCCACGCUGUAAACGAUGAGCACUAGGUGUCGUGGGUAUUGACCCCCGCGGUGCCGCAGCUAACGCAUUAAGUGCUCCGCCUGGGGACUACGGCCGCAAGGUUAAAACUCAAAGGAAUUGACGGGGGCCCGCACAAGCGGUGGAGCAUGUGGUUCAAUUCGACGCAACGCGAAGAACCUUACCUGGGCUAGACAACGGAGGACAGCUCCAGAGAUGGGGUCUUCCCUUCGGGGACCUCCGGUUCAGGUGCUGCAUGGCUGUCGU
rnacentral:rRNA from 1 species